rnacentral:lncRNA from 1 species
UAACGUGUAAUGAGCAUCUCACAGGUGACCAGCCAAGUCUGCUUCCUUCCUGUCAGAUGACCUUCACCACACCCUUGAGAGAAAGGACAGGAGUCAUUAGAUCCAUUUCAGAGGUAAGAAAACUCAUGUGCUGGGUGCAUAAAUGAGCUGCCACAGGCAACAUGAUCAGGAAAUGAGCACAUCAAAAGUAGGACCCUAGACUUUUCUGUCGGACAUGGAACUGAAGAGUGUUUGUAAAUUGCUAUGAAAGAUUCUAAAGUCAAUUCUGUCUGCAAAGUCUAAAAAAUAUUUAAUGUUUGUACUUUAUGUCUUGGGGAGUUUUAAUUUUGUUUCGUAAUGAAUUUGACUGUAUUCUAGAAAGUAUAUCAGUCCACACAGUUUGAAAAUUGAAAAAACAAAUCCUUCACCAGAAAACAAAUCCUUCACUGUUGGACUCAAAUUCCUCUCAAGUGCAAAUCAGUGCCUACACGGGUAUGGGUGACAAUCAGCCUGUAUCAAGAAUUCUACAGGUAUACCUAUAAAUGUAAUCAAACUCAUUAAGCAAUUUAAAAAAAAAAAGAAUUCUACCCAUCACUUCAAAAUACUUUGUAAUAGUUAAGAAAUGCAAAUAUUCACAAAAUAUAUUCUAAGCAGCUUAUAGAAAACAGCAUAUAAUGCCCAAAGAGGUCAAGGCUGCGUUUUAAAAUAGCAGACAUCAAGGACAGAAUCUGAAAGCAAAGGUUCAAGGUUACCCGCAGGGGCACAGGAUGGCGUGUUCUUUCCUUACGGCGCAGAGAAGAAACCACAGCCCUACCCAACCACGGCCCCGGUGCUGACCUAUCCAGGGAGCUCUGGCUGUCAACCAUUCCCUAGGACCCUGAACCUCCCUGCUGGAAAGGACCUCCAGUGCCUUCUUGUCAUCUUGGGUCACUCCAGGAAUAAAGGGUGAAGAGGGUCUCUUUGGCACCCACCUGAACCACCACAUCAUUGGCUGGGUGCAUUCCUGUAGCGUUUUCUCUGUUCCCUUUCAGAUGAUCAUUAAAAUCAGGUUCAAUACAAUUUAUCGCAUUAAAAUCAGAUUCUUUUUUGAGAUAAUAAACUAUGUUCUACUGUUUCUAUCUCUGAUAACCUGGUCCUUUGAAGUCACGAAGUUUCUAACAGGAACUGCCGUGAUCAUUCUUGUCAACAUGAAUUGUCUCAUGUUCAGCGUUCCUUUCAUUGCCUUAAUUUUCAGGUAAUUAUACUCCUUUGUUCCACCCCACGUAGCACUUCACCUGCCUUGGUAUUUAUACAUCCAAAUAAUUGCAGAGGGUUAUCAAGGCCUAUCUUUGCUGUCUCUAAGCCAGCUCGAGCCUAUUUAAUUCCCUUCCCUGUCCUCCUCAGUCAGUCCCUCCAACCCCUCCAUCAUCUUCCUGACUCCGUGUCUGAACCUUUUCCAAGAAAACGUCUACAUCUUUCCUGGUCGCAGGCUCCCGGAACAAAUGCGGUUUUCAGGUGCCAUUUCAUCAGAAUCACUUCCCUACCCGGGGGUAAAUCUCUUGAAUUCUUCACAUCCCUUUGGUCUUCUUCCCCCUUCUCAUAGCCAGUGUGGGUCCAAGGCAUUUCUUUGCCCAAGGCAAAAUGAGGCUUCUUUUCUUUUAUGCCAUGUAGUUGGAUUCGUUUCAGAAAGGUUCACGCACUCUCUCUUCUACACCCCCCCCCCGCAACUGUCCCCUUUUGCUCCUGAAUUUUAGAUACGCUGCUAAAUUAUAUGGCUGCAAGACACCAUAAAUAAAUCCAAGGUCUUGUAGUAUUUAAAAAGGUGGCAAAAGUGUGGACUCCGGUUAUUCAUUUCUAAAAGCCUGAGUGUCCUCCUCUUUAAAAGUGGACAGUAAUGAUCCAAAUAAGAAAAUGUAUGUGGAAUUAAGAGGAUACAAAAUUAUUUAUAAUAGCUAAGGAAUUACAUAAAGUAAGUUUUUAGGAGUUCCCGUCAUAGCUCAGCAGAAACAAAUCUGACUAGCAUCCAUGAGGACGCAGGUUCGAUCCCUGGCCUCACUCAGCGGGUUAAGGAUCCAGCGUUGCCAUGAGCUGUGGUGGAGGUUGCAGACAUGGCUCGGAUCCUGCGUGGCUGUGGCUGGCGGCUACAGCUCUGAUUUGACCCUUAGCCUGGGAACCUCUGUAUGCAGCAAGUGUGGCCCUAAAAAGACAAAAGAAAGGAAGGAAAGAAGGAAAGAAAGAAAAGAUUUUAAUUCGGAGUCACAAAAUGAUUUGGUAAAAGUAAACACUGCAUGCGGAAGAAAUACUACUGGUCAUCCACACUUUAUACUCUCUCAAAAGUCUUCAAAAUCACGAAGAGUCUAUUGCUUACAUAUAUACUGAGUCAGCGCUCGUCCUACCCAGGAAAAGGAAGCUACAUACCCCUUCGCGUCUCUGUCCUUCCUUCCAUGGCUCCUAAGGAGCAGCCUUUGUGAACCCAUGAAAUUUCAUGUUUGCAAAAACCGUAUUACGAAAACUACUUUUCAGUCAGGGUCUAAAGGGAAAGAUAUUUUGAGAGUGGCCAGAUUACCCGACUCGUUUUUUUAAGUUAAACUUUUUCUGCAGGAAAUGUUUAAAUAAAGGCAUUUGCUACAGCUAGCGUUUCCAAAGGCAGGCCACUGUACUGAACACACGCGACGGCGACCACGCACAGCUCUUGUUCCAGAGUAACAGCAUUCCUUUUCCUCAGCUUUUCCGUCACAUCCUUCACCCCCGCUAACACUCCCGGGGUCAGGAUGAUCAGCCUACUGGCAAUUUCCGCACAGCCUCCCACAGAGCCUCCCAUAAAGACCAGAGUUAUUAGACAAGGACUCACCUCUCAGUCCGCAAAAGGAUAGAAUGUGCUGGAUGUCGAUGCGCUCCAAGCCAGGACGCUCGCCCCGCCCCACCCAUAUUUAUUGGGUGUGUUGAUGGCCAACAGCUCUCAGUUGUGUUCACCUGCAGUAAUUGCCUUGCAGUGAAAACAGCCCCCUCACCCAUGGUUCAUGGCCCCACUCACCUGCAUCCAAUGAUUGGUCAGAGAAAGACCUUAAAGGCUUAGAGUUGGCUGAGUUGCAAACCAUUGUAGUUCAACUUCCCCGGGGGCCCAGUUCUGCUUCCUUCAUUUCCUCUAGAGUUUGAACUCCCACAUUGUCCAAUAAGCCUCCUGUACCUAAAUCUUUGUCUCCGAGUCUGCUUUCCAAGAACCCACUGAGGUCCAAAGAAGCAAACUCAGAAGUGGGAUUUUGAAUAAGGAUGAACAGCUGGCCUGUUGGCCAUAAGGACAGGGAGUAGAGGGGGCCUGGAAAGCUCCUGGAAAAGGUAGCAGUGCAAUUGUUAAAACUUUCACCAGUGGAAGUACCUACUGUACAUCACAGGGAACUCUGUUCAAUAUCCUGUAAAUAACCUACAUGGCGAAAAGAAUCUGAAAAAGAAUGCAUGUAUGUAUAUGUAUAACCGAAUCACUUUGCUGCAUACCUGAAACUAACACAGCAUUGUAAAUCAACUAUACUCUGAUAUAAAAUAAAAAUUAAACUAUAAAAAAAACGUUUUCACUAGUGGAAAUCCAGACCUGGGUACCAUGGCAAGAAAUGCAUGGGCUGAUGCAACAUAUCAGACAUUUGGAUACAUGUUGAGAUCAGUAGAUUCUAUGGGGAAAGACAAAUUCCUGAAAGUGACAGAUCACCAAUUAAAGUGUUCAAGCCAAAGGCCUCCUUAAGCUGUAUACGGAGAGACUCUUAUCUUUUACAACGAGAAGGCAAGAAAAAUUGGGGAUCUGACCCAGGACUUAAUUGAAGAGGAGCAGAGCUCCAGAAGAGGUUGUAUUCUCAACUUGACCCAUGCACUACGCCAAAGUCAGGGCUUGGAUGUGGAGGUCCUGAGAACAUAGAAAUGAGGUGGAGAUAUCCUGAUACAGUAGAAAAAUCUUGACCCCUCAGAUGUUUCCUGAGCCUUUUGGACCUACGGAAGUGAUCCACUCCUCCUGUUAAAGGCUAGUGUCUAUUCGAAUAAUCACUCAGUCUAUGAUAAGGAAGAGAAGGGAGUUUUGCUUGAGCCAAGGUGAGGACUGUAGCCCGGGAGACAGAGAUCCAAGAAGCACAAUGACUGAGGCUUCUGUGGCCAAAAACUGCAACUUACAUAGGUUGUCAAGAAUUAGGAUUGGAACUGGCAAGAAGCAAGGGUGCUAGUGAAGCAAGAAUUGGUUGGAGUCUAAAAAUGGUUGCAUAGUGACAAGGAGAGACCUCAAGACUCUAAGGUUGUAGCUGGCCGCUAAUAGUAGAUAAUUGUUUUGCAAAUGGGUGGUUUUUGCAAAUUUGACACAGUUUUGAAAAUUUGAGUUGUUGGUGAUGCAGAAACACAUCUGAAACCAUAUCCACGACGGCCAUGCAGCUCCAUUUUGGAUGCCUGAACCUCAGUUACUCCAUUUGAUUUUUAAAUGAUUUUAAUUAUGUCAGCACUACAGAUCUCCUUUUCUUAAAAAUGGCUAAGGAUGGAGUUCCCGUUGUGGCUCAAUAGUUGGCGAAUCCGACCAGGAACCAUGAGGUUUCGAGUUUGAUCCCUGGCCUCGCUCAGUGGGUUGAGGAUCCAGCGUUGCCAUGAGCUGUGGUGUAGGCUGUAGAUGUGGCUCGGAUCCUGCGUUGCUGUGGUUGUGGCGUAGGCCGGCGGCUACAGCUCUGAUUGGACCCCUGGCCUGGGAACCUCCAUAUGCCAUGGGAGAGGCCCAAGAAACGGCAAAAAAAAGACAGAAAAAAAAAUGGCUAAGGAACUUCUGCCUUACACACACACACACACACACACACACACACACACACACACACCAUUCUUGACCUACUCCCACCUCCUGGCCACCAGGCAAUAACUAGGACUGAG